rnacentral:pre_miRNA from 1 species
UCCCCAUGACAUUUAGUGAUGAUGUGUCUGUUUUUUUAUCAAUUAAUGUGUGCCACGUGUGUAAUUCCAUUUUUUAAAAAAUAAAAAAAAUGGUAUUUUUCAGAUUUUCAGCACUAAAUUCUAUUGUUGGUCACGUGCCUCCUUCUCUCAAAAUCUGAAAAAUACCAUUUUUUUUAUUUUUUUAAAAAAAUAAAAUUACACACGUGGCACAUAUUAAUUGAUAAAAAACAGACACAUCAGCAUUAAAUGUCAUGGGGA